GCUUGGGAAUUUGCCUUUAGGUGGGGACGAACAGUUGGAACGAACUGCUAAUACCGCAUAGUAGCUACGGCUUAAAGGGGGACGUUCGGCUCUCGCCUUUAGUAGAAGCCCAACGUGGGAGUUAGGUAGUUGGUGAGGUAAAGGACUCACCAAGCCGACGAUCCCUAGCUGGUCUGAGAGGAUGAUCAGCCACACUGGAACUGAGACACGGUCCAGACUCCUACGGGAGGGCAGCAGUGGGGAAGUAUUGCACAAUGGGGGAAACCCGUAGAUGCAGCCAUGCCGCGUGUGUGAAGAAGG
rnacentral:rRNA from 1 species